rnacentral:tRNA from 1 species
GAAAGCCUGUUGGAACUCCCCAACAUCUCCUGAAUGCAACUCAGGUACUUUAAUUAAGCUAAGACCUC